AGUUCUGAGGCAUAGUAGGUUAAAGCGCGGGUCUAGUGAAUACGGAGUCGUGGGUUCGAAUCCCACCAGGACGC
rnacentral:tRNA from 1 species